CCCUCUGGCUCAGUUGGUAGAGCAUGGUGUUUUUUACACGUCAGCUUGGUGUGUGCAACGCCAGGGUUGUGGGUUUGAUUCCCACGGGGG
rnacentral:tRNA from 1 species